rnacentral:rRNA from 1 species
CCCUGAUCUAUCUCACGAUGAGCAGUCUGAUGGAGCACGCCGCGUGAGUGAAGAAGGGUUUCGGCUCGUAAAGCUCUGUUGUUAAAGAAGAACGUGGGUGAGAGUAACUGUUCACCCAGUGACGGUAUUUAACCAGAAAGCCACGGCUAACUACGUGCCAGCAGCCGCGGUAAUACGUAGGUGGCAAGCGUUAUCCGGAUUUAUUGGGCGUAAAGCGAGCGCAGGCGGUCUUUUAAGUCUAAUGUGAAAGCCUUCGGCUCAACCGAAGAAGUGCAUUGGAAACUGGGAGACUUGAGUGCAGAAGAGGACAGUGGAACUCCAUGUGUAGCGGUGAAAUGCGUAGAUAUAUGGAAGAACACCAGUGGCGAAGGCGGCUGUCUGGUCUGUAACUGACGCUGAGGCUCGAAAGCAUGGGUAGCGAACAGGAUUAGAUACCCCCGGUAGUCAAA